rnacentral:rRNA from 1 species
UACGGGGGGGGCAAGCGUUGUUCGGAAUUACUGGGCGUAAAGGGCUCGUAGGCGGCCAACUAAGUCAGACGUGAAAUCCCUCGGCUUAACCGGGGAACUGCGUCUGAUACUGGAUGGCUUGAAUCCGGGAGAGGGAUGCGGAAUUCCAGGUGUAGCGGUGAAAUGCGUAGAUAUCGGAAGGAACACCAGUGGCGAAAGCGGCUUCCUGGUCCAGCACCGACGUUCAGGCACGAAAGCGUGGGGAGCAAACAGG